GCCUCCUCGGCCUCACCGCCGCCCGGGCAGGCCGCCAUCCUCCGCCAGCAGCACGGGUCAGGUACAGGACCUAUGUAUGCUACAGACCCACUCCUAUAUAUGUCCCUGUUAAUACUGCAUAAGCUUGUACAUUUAUUAGUAAACCACUGACGGACUACUUCCUCCACUCCUCCCCAGCCAAACAAAAAGGAACCUAUUUAAAAACAGAACAAACCCGUGACAAAAAAAUACCUAGUUUUAAAGAUGGACAGAAAGAGACUGAAAGAAGCAUGAUCAAUUCUACGUGGGGGGAAAAGCAUAUUUUUGGGGAUGCCACAGAAAGUAAACCACAUAGAAUAACGCAUCUAGUUUCCAGACUCUACGGUGUAAAGCCCUGCUCUGUGCAUGGCACUUAUGAUUUCUCUAUUUUAAUGUAAUAUUUUUUUUCUUUUCUAAACCUUUCCUCUGACUCUUCAUUUUGCACGAACUGUUGAGCAGUUAUCUUUAUGACAAUAUGUAAAGAUGUUGGGUCAAAGCCCUUCCUAAGAAAGGAAAUAUUUUUAGUAGAUGAUUGUGUUUAGGUUUUUUGGAUUUCCUUUUUCUUUUUUAAUUAAAUUAUUUCUUUUGGAGACAUUUUAAUUAAAAAGGUACAUCUUACCAUAAUUAAUAUUCACUGUCAAUAAUAUUUAUUUUUAAAUGAAGAUUGGAAACAAGGUAAGACAUUUGUUUAUAAACUGUAUUGUAUAUUGCUGAAUAACAGUUGAAUAAAAAGAUUUUGAAAUAAAGUUUUUACAGA